AUGGCGACGACGAGCGAGUCCACCGCCAACUCUACCGUAACGAGCGCGACGGCCGACGGAGACACAGAGCGUGAGCAAGAGCACGGCAAUGGCGCGACUGCCGCCCCUGCCGUGGUGCAGCAGGAGGAGGAGGGGGAAGAGUUGAUCGGUCCGGGCCCCGCGCCGGCGCGGCAGCGGCAGAAGCGCCCGCUCCAGUUCGAGCAGGCUUUCCUCGACGCCCUCCCCUCCGCCGCCAUGUACGAGAAGAGUUAUAUGCACAGGGACGUUGUCACGCACGUCGCCGUUUCCCCUGCUGACUUCUUCAUUACCGGGAGCGCAGAUGGACAUCUGAAAUUCUGGAAGAAGAAGCCCAGUGGAAUCGAAUUUGCUAAACAUUUUCGGUCUCAUCUCAGUCCUAUCGAAGGCUUAGCUGUCAGUGUUGAUGGCUUACUUUGCUGCACGAUCUCUAACGAUCGGUCUGUCAAGAUAUAUGAUGUUGUAAACUAUGACAUGAUGUUCAUGAUGCGCCUCCCGUUUGUCCCUGGGGCAAUUGAGUGGGUCUAUCGGCAGGGUGAUGUUAAACCAAAACUUGCUGUUAGUGACCGGAAUACAUCUUCUGUUCACAUAUAUGACACUCAUUCUGGUUCAAAUGAUCCCAUCAUCUCCAAAGAGAUUCAUGCUGGCCCUGUAAAAGUUAUGAAAUAUAACCAUGCCCAGGAUGUUGUGAUAUCUGCUGAUGCCAAAGGACUCUUGGAGUAUUGGUCUCCAUCCACCCUUAAGUUUCCAGAGGAUGCGGUGAAUUUUCGUUUAAAAACAGAUACAAAUCUAUUUGAACUUGCAAAAGGCAAGACUAGUGUGUCUGCCAUUGAGGUGAGCAACGAUGGCACUCAAUUUGUGGUCACAUCCCCUGACCGCAGGAUAAGGGUAUUUUGGUUCAAAACUGGUAAAUUAAGACGCGUGUAUGAUGAGUCCCUUGAGGUGGCACAAGAUCUUCAGAAAAGUGACGUUCCGUUGUAUCAUCUUGAUGCUAUUGAUUUUGGGAGAAGAAUGGCUGUCGAGAAGGAAAUAGAAAAGACAGAAAAUGUUCCUCAACCUAAUGCUGUAUUCGAUGAGAGCUGUAACUUCCUUAUUUAUGCCACCCUUUUGGGCAUAAAGGUUGUAAAUUUGCACACAAAUAAGGUUCCCCGUAUCCUGGGGAAGGUAGAGAACAAUGAGAGGUUUCUGAGAAUUGCUCUAUACCAAGGUGACAAAGGCAACAAGAAGGUUAGGAAAAUUCCUUCAAUAGCUGCUAAUGUCAAUGACACGAAGGAGCCUUUAUCAGACCCUACUCUGUUAUGUUGCGCCUUCAAGAAACACCGGAUAUAUACCUUUAGUCGUAGAGAACCUGAAGAGCCUGAAGAUGCCACUAAGGGUAGGGAUGUUUUCAAUGAAAAACCCCCACCAGAAGAACUUUUGUCUGUAUCAGAAUUAGGGAAGACUGCUACGACAUCACUACCUGACAAUUUGGUGUUUCAUACUUCAAUGGGUGAUAUUCACUUGAGACUAUAUCCAGAAGAGUGUCCUAAAACUGUGGAAAAUUUCACUACUCACUGCCGAAAUGGUUAUUAUGAUAAUCUAAUAUUUCAUCGUGUAAUUAAAGGAUUCAUGGUCCAGACUGGGGAUCCUUUGGGGGAUGGUACUGGUGGGCAAUCAAUCUGGGGCAGGGAGUUUGAAGAUGAAUUUCACAAAAGCUUGAGACAUGACAGGCCAUUUACACUUUCAAUGGCUAACGCGGGACCAAAUACUAAUGGUUCUCAAUUCUUUAUCACCACUGUGGCAACUCCAUGGCUAGAUAACAAACAUACAGUGUUUGGUAGAGUUGUGAAAGGGAUGGAUGUUGUUCAGCAAAUUGAGAAGGUCAAGACGGACAAAAAUGACAAGCCGUAUCAGGAUGUGAAGAUCUUGAAUGUUACAGUUCCCAAGACAUAA
rnacentral:rRNA from 1 species